CCGCAUUGGGAUGGGCCCGCGGCCCAUUAGCUUGUUGGUGAGGUAACGGCUCACCAAGGCUUCGAUGGGUAGCUGGUCUGAGAGGACGAUCAGCCACACUGGGACUGAGACACGGCCCAG
rnacentral:rRNA from 1 species